rnacentral:rRNA from 1 species
UACGGUGGGGGCUAGCGUUGUUCGGAAUUACUGGGCGUAAAGCGUACGUAGGCGGCUUUUUAAGUCAGAGGUGAAAUCCCACGACUCAAUCGUGGAACUGCCUUUGAGACUGGAUCGCUUGAAGAUGGGAGAGGUAAGUGGAAUUCCGAGUGUAGAGGUGAAAUUCGUAGAUAUUCGGAAGAACACCAGUGGCGAAGGCGGCUUACUGGACCAUUCUUGACACUGAGGUACGCAAGCGUGGGGAGCAAACAGG